GCUCCUAUAGCUCAGUUGGCAGAGCGUUGGUCUCAUAAUCCAGAGGUCGCAAGUUCGAGCCUUGCUGGGAGCA
rfam:Monosiga brevicollis MX1 MONBRscaffold_12 genomic scaffold, whole genome shotgun sequence.